rnacentral:snRNA from 1 species
AUAUUUGUGUCGUGACAGUAUUGUAGCCAAUGAGAUGCACCCUAGGCACGAUAAUUUGUAAUUGAAAACUUUUCCCAAUACUCCAUGACUACUUGAAAUAUUUGUGUACAAGUUUCUGCAUGGAUAUAUG